AGUUCCUGCUCAGGCAGCAGCAAACUCCCCAGCAAUCACUCCUCCAGUGCACGCAUCAUAACCUGCUGCUGCACCUGCUAUUGUCCCUAAUGCAAAUCCACUGGAUCUCUUCUCACAGGUAGCUAUUGUUCUACCUCUUAACUUUUGAAUUCUUCCCUCAGAUAGAUGCUCCUUUGAAGUUUGAAUUGUAUUUUAUGAUCAUCUAAUUAAUAAAAUAUAUUACUAUUCUUGAAUUAGGGCCUACCAAAUGUGGGUGCAAAUGCUGGUGCUGACAAUUUGGAUUUUCUUUGAAACAGUCAACAGUUCCAAGCAUUGCGAGCUAUGGUGCAAGCAAACCCUCAAAUUCAGCAGCCUAUGCUUCAAGAGCUAGGGAAAUAAAAUCCACAUCUUGUGCAUCUCAUACAAGAGCCUCAAGCUGACUUUUUGUGCCUGAUAAAUGAACUUGUCGAGGGAGGAGAAGGGUGAGAUGAAUGCAGUUUUUUUUAUUAUUUAUCAAUUUUUUUUAUCUACUUGACACAUGCUAAUUUUUCAUUUUUAUUAUACAAUCAGGAACGUUCUGAGCCUAAUGGCUUCAGCCAUGCCACAGGCUAUGACUGUAACUCCUGAGGAGCGGGCAACCAUUGAACGUGGAGGCAGUAUUUCUGGGUUUUCAACACUACAUUUUGGCCCUUGGAACUGCAGUGAUGAUCCCUUCUUUCCUUGUUCCUUACAUGGGUGGUACUGAUGGUGAUAAAGUCAGAGUAGUACAGACUCUACUGUUUGUUGAAGGAAUUAACACACUUCUUCAAACUCUCUUUGGAACUAGACUGCCUACUAUUAUUGGAGGGUCUUAUGCAUUCAUGGUCCCUAUUAUAUCUAUCAUUCAUGAUUCAUCAUUGGCUAGUAUUGAGGACCCUCAUAUCAGAUUUCUCAACACCAUGAGAGCAGUCCAAGGUGCUUUGAUAGUAGCAUCAAGCAUACAAAUUAUCCUAGGAUACAGUAAAAUUUGGGCCAUCUGUUCCUGGCGGUGUGUUUUGCUUUAAUGGGCAUUGGCAGCUCAUUUCAUGCUCAAGAAACUGUUGUGAGUGGGUAAUUGGAGAGUCGAGUGUGGUAAAUAUUGUUCUUUUCCUGUGUACUGUGUUAUGUUUGGGGUCAUUUGGGACAUGUUACUUUCUGAUUCUUUUGAGAUCUGCAUGUAAAAGCCUCAACUUAUCUGUUUGCAUACA